UACGAAGGGGGCUAGCGUUGCUCGGAAUCACUGGGCGUAAAGGGUGCGUAGGCGGGUCUUUUAAGUCAGGGGUGAAAUCCUGGAGCUCAACUCCAGAACUGCCUUUGAUACUGACGGUCUGGAGAUCGGGAGAGGUUGGUGGAAUUCCGAGUGUAGAGGUGAAAUGCGCAGAUAUCAGGAGGAACACCAAUUGCGAAGGCAGCUCGCUGGGACGUUACUGACGCUGAGGAGCGAAAGCGUGGGGAGCGAACAGG
rnacentral:rRNA from 1 species